GGGAUGUGCACCCGCGUCUCCCCGCGCUGCCUGCCUUACCUGGGACAUGGCACAAAACAGUCAUGGAAUCACCGAGGUUGGGACCUUUAAGAACCUCGUGUCCAAUGUUCACCCAGUACAACCACUGUAACCCCCAAAGCUUUAGAGCACAUCACCCAGAACCAGAUCCGGACUCCUCUUGAACUCCUCCAGGGAUGGUGGCUUCGAAAAAUCUCAAAUAUCUUAUCAGAAUCCCCCAUCUCAGCUUAAGGCCUCUCACUGCAGGCAAGGCAGAAGAGCCCAGCUCCCACCCCUCCUUUCAGGUGGGUGUGGAGAGCAGUGAGGUGCCCCCGAGCCUCCUGGAGACUAAACAAACCCAUAUAAAUAACUUGGGACAUUCUGUGUGGAAGGCACAGAGCCUGUCAGUCACAUCCAGCUCUGUUCCUGGCGAGCUCUACCCCAGAAGGUCACAGCGCUGCCUGCCAGUACACCUGCCACUGCACCGAGGGCAGGCAGACUUUAAAUAACCCUUUUUGUCCCUUUCCUGUCCACCUGUCGUGGAAGAGCUCAGUGCAGCUCCACAGCUACAGCCUUUGCUCUUAAAGGAGUAGCCGAGUCAGAGUUUCUAUCAAAAGCAGCAGCAUAUCAUUCACAGAUGAGUGCUAGGAUACAGGCUGGGUUGAGAAACAAGCAGAGUUUUGAUGCAGUAGAGUUUGCUGUCUGUAUUUGCUUCCCCAGUCAUACAUUAGCACAGUCUUCCUGCUCGUUUCCUGGGUUUGCCUCCUCAAGUUGUUCUUCUGCUGGACCUACUCAGUGAGGCCUGGAUUAGUUCCUGCCUCCUCACAAGUCUGGACUUUUCUGAAUCCUGCUCCCACCUGUUGCUUCCAAAUCCCCAUUGUUUUUUUCUUUUGUGUUCCCAGCUGUCACUUCCCACCAGCUAUGUCCUCGCUUCCACUGCCACCCACAAGGGCUGUGGCAUGUGCAGGGUUUGUGUUGUGCUUCCCAGGGUUUGUGUUGUGCUUCCCAGGGUUUUUGUUGUGCUUCCCCGUGCAAACAGCAGGAGAAGAGGAGCUGCCAUCCCUUACUUCUCUGGUUUCACACACAGCAAUUGUAACCGCUGGGCACGAAAGCCUUCCGUCCCAAAGAAUUGGAAAUUAUUGUAGAGAAAUACAAAACAAGGAUCAUUUUUCCAUUGCUGAAACUGCUUAACAACUGUACAUCUAUGCUGAGAGCCUGGUUUUCCACAGAGAACUUGCAGGCUUGGGCUCUAUUAAGAACAAAGAUUCCUCCUUGGAGUGCAAGACAAGUUUUUAAAGCGUAUGAAAGCUUUCAAGUUGCUGAAUACACCGUGAGCUGAAGGCACAUUUCAAGAACACACAAGCUUUCACUUGAUAGCAAAGCCUGACUGGCACAUCAGGGCUCGCUGGGAGCCACAGGCAGACUCAGGGCUGGUUUGCUGUGUGAGAUCAGUCUGGCAGCCCCCAGGAGCUGCUGAGCCUCCCCACACACACUUUGGCACACACAUUCACCAGUCAAAUACCAGCUCCAACUGUUUAUUCAUCUCCACUGCUCACAGACCAUCCCAGUCAGGCAUUCAUGUUAGAACUGAAGGAUGAGAUAAUGGCAGAAGAAUCUUCCACAUGUCCUCACAGUUGUUGCAGUUUAAACCUUUGGAUGAAAAUAUUUUGGGGCUGAUAAUUGCCUUGAAGCAGGACAGCAGUUCAUAACACAGACAACGGGCAGUGACUGUUGUAAUAAUAUGUCACUGAAUAAAUACAGUGAUCCUAUUUGUAUUAGGUUUUUUUUUUAUUUAUUAAAUAUCCAUUAGACAUCGUUGCUAAACCUGAAUUUUGUUUUUUCUACACCAUCUCUAACUUACCAGAGCACCUGCUUGUAAUCCAUGAAGAGAUGUAUGGUUACAUAACACCCGUGCUUGUUCCCAGACACUAGAUGCAAAGAGGCAGUCAAAAUACUCUUUAAAAUAUUAAAUUGAAAGUCAAUGGAACUUUAGACAUUUCUGAACAUGAGGCAUAAGCUUUUCAGACAUGUUGGGGACGAGAUAAAGCUGUACCUUGUGCUUCUGCAAAGAGAUAUACAGAAGAUCCUCUCCAUCUUCUCCACUCUUAGGGAAAUUAAAAGGGAGACAACAACUCUACAGAGUCAAUGUAUAAAUGUUUGCUCUCCAGGAUUUUAACUCUGGCCAGUUCUUAAAACUCUUAUUUAUCAUCUCCUCAGUCCUACAGCAGGAAAGCUCUUGCUGAAUCCUAGGCAAAGUUGACUAUCACUUCUAGAUUUGGUCCUGUGGGAAUAGCACUAGAGGCAAAAAUUUUACACUCAGUGUAUUUCAUCCAUUGUCUUGUUACCAAAUGGCAGCAGUUUUGUGGGAAUCAUUAAAAACUUCCCUUGUUAUGUAGAGCACUAUUGAUAUUUGAACUCUCAGGGGGAGUAACCUCUGUCUCUAUCCAAAAAGUAUCAGAUAAAAAUAAACACACACAACACUGCUCAGCAAAGAACAAGUACAUUAAUGACAAUUCAUUAGUUUGAAUUUGGCAUUACUCAAACAUUUACGGUGUGUAUUGAGUCCCGUGUAGGAGUAUGGUGACAGGAAAGGUGAGACAAAAGACAGGAAAACAUGUAGGAAUCUGUCAUAUACAGUUUUUGCUAUAACAAUACAUUGUGCACAUUAUUCUUUUCAUCUGAGAAUGUCAAAGCUUAUUUUAAAAAUCUGGUUCAAUGUAAAAAGCUCUGUGAGGAAAGUAAUUCUUUUACUGGUAGGUGAACUGAAUGCCAGAGUUAUUCAGAAUUAUUGCUCAUUAGAGCCAGAGAUGGAACUCAGGAAUAGAACUGGUCUCCAACUUCAGCUACAUAAAAUGCUGCAUGAGUUGCCAACUAUGAUCUGUGAGUGGAAUUUGGUUAAUUGUGUCAGUCUGUAGGAACAGUUAUUAUUUUUUGGUAUUACAAUAGCUUUGAGAGUCCUGCAGCUGUAAUCUCUGCGUGCAAGGUUCUACCUGCACACACAGCAGAGUGGUUCUGGCUUGGAAGAAAGUAAAGUCUUUCAGGACAUGGUUUGACAAACUAUUUUUUGGAAGAAGUUCCUACUUAUGCAUUCGCCACCACACAUUCCUCCCCUCUUCCCCUUUACAUUGUUCCUGCAUUGUGCCAGUGAUUUUCUUUUUGUGUGUGUUAAAUUGAAUCUGAAUCUGAUUUCAAUUAGAAAUAGUCCCCACAACCCCUUUUUUUUUAAACUCAGACUAGUACUCUGAUCUGGUUCCCUGGUGCAGAUGCAGGAACAAUGUUACAAGAGAGUCCCAGGAAGUCAGAAAUGAGAGAGUGAGGAACACAUUGCACGAGUUUCACUCAGCAGAGGUGUUUGUCAAACUGUGCCCUUAACUGAGCCCAACCACAGCAAGGUUCUAACUGCAACUGGUGUGAAAAACCAGCAAUUUGGUAUUGUACAUUUUUUUAAAUUAACACAAACAAGUGGAAUAUAUCAGUAAACAAAAGAGCAGCUCUGCCACCUCAGGUGAUACUACAAAAACUUUCAGAGUAGAAAUUGAGGUCAUUGACAAAAUAUCUUCCUUUCCUCUCUGGAGUCAAAACUAAUGUCUCUCAGAAACACACAAAGGAAAUAACCUUUAAACUCCAUGUUUGUUUUUGCAGUGGUAUGACUGGAAAAUAAUUUCAUCUGCCUUUGUAAAGGGGGGGUGGGGUGGUAUAAAACAAAGUAGAGACCAUUUCCCUCCCACCACAGCCGUACGUCUAUUAUCUGACUCACCACUUCUGGGACUCCUUCUGGCAGCUCUGCUUUUAUUGCACUGAAAAUUCAAGCCUAUGAAAAUAUUCCCUAUUUUCAGGUUUACUUUGUUCACUGCUUUGUUCGGGUCAGUAUUCCUUCCUUUAGGGGUCUGGAGCUCGACAUUCAGCAAGGGCUGGAUGUUGCUGUUCCUAAGCCUUGUGAGAAGGACCAGCUCAGUGCAAGGAAGGGGGGAGGGAAAGGAAGGGGGAGGAGAGUCCAUAUCUGAAGAGAGACUCCAGACUGGAGAAAUUUUACUGACAUCCAUUCAGUUUCCAGCAGGGUCUCCUUCAAGGGCUUUUACUGAGCUCCAAAAGCCCCUGCAAUUCACAGCGGCAUUUACAUGCAGCGUUUCCCUCUGGGAGCUGAGGUAUAACUGUACUCCUGGAUAAUAAUCACAAAGAAUACCACCAGACUCCCAUUGAAAUGUCAACCAGCCACUACCGUUGUAGAGAGUAACAAAGAGAUGCUAAUAUAAUUAAUUAUGAAGCCUCAGUACCCUCAUUAACACAUCUUUAGUGCCUAGAUCUUUGAAAAUCAGCUGUAUAAAGUGACUGUCAGAGUUAAUUCCUUAUAAAUUGCCUCCUGUCACAUGCCAGCACUGCAGCAAGUUCUCUCAGACCUUGAUGCUAAGAAAUCUGUGGUUUUUUUAAAGUUCUGAUGCAGUUUUAUUGGCGUUAUUAAAGGUGUAAGCUGUUGCAUAAGCAGUUUGUCAGGCUAGAGUAGAGAAAAAUAAAAAUGCCUUUAGUCAGCCCAGCUUACACAGUUGGUGGCAUAAAUAGGAAAAGUUUCAGUCAAUUAAAUGGAAAAUUAAGGACAAAAGGAAAAACAGGAAUGAAAGGUGUCACAUAAUUUGGCAUUUAAAUGUUUCCUCCGGACCUUUUUUUAAAUUUGAGGACUGCAGCCAGUUUAUAGCUCUCCCUCCUACUGCUGCCUUUACGACAGCAUUCCAGCUCCAGGCCUCAUUCCAGAGCAUCCUCCUUCCCCUCACAAAUAUAUAUUUCAAUAGGCUUAGGCUACACGGAGUUCCAAAACCAGCAUGUAAUUGGUGCAAUUGUCUUUUACACUUCUCCAGAGAGAGCCACAUUCAUGCUGCUUAAGCCCUGUUUUGUCAUGUUUUCCCUUUUUUUUUUUUUCCUCUUUUUUUUUCCAAGCUGGACUGGGAUCAGUACUUGUGUUGGGAACCCUACAUAUAUACUGAAGAAAGAAGUUACAGAAACAGGCUGUAUGGGUGGUUCAUUCUGUUAUUUCUCAGAACCAGACUGUCACUCGGCUACAAGAUAAAGGGAGGCGAUAAAAAGAAAGUGAUCAUUACAAAUCACUUGGCAUUUUCUGUGAGCAGUUAAAACACUUGCACUGACAUAUCCAAUUUG